rnacentral:rRNA from 1 species
UACGGAGGGGACUAGCGUUGUUCGGAAUUACUGGGCGUAAAGCGCACGUAGGCGGAUUUGUAAGUCAGGGGUGAAAUCCCGGGGCCUCAACCUCGGAACUGCCUUUGAUACUGCAAAUCUCGAGUCCGGAAGAGGUGAGUGGAAUUCCUAGUGUAGAGGUGAAAUUCGUAGAUAUUAGGAAGAACACCAGUGGCGAAGGCGGCUCACUGGUCCGGUACUGACGCUGAGGUGCGAAAGCGUGGGAGCAAC